rnacentral:rRNA from 1 species
GUACACACCGCCCGUCGCUACUACCGAUUGAACGUUUUAGUGAGGUAUUUGGAUCGGACCUUCCGGAGUUUUACUUUGGUUGCUGUCUGAAAAGACUCCCAAACUUGAGCGUUUAGAGGAAGUAAAAGUCGUAACAAGGUUUCCGUAGGUGAACCUGCAGAAGGAUCA